AACGAACGCUGGCGGCAUGCCUAACACAUGCAAGUCGAACGAGACCUUCGGGUCUAGUGGCGCACGGGUGCGUAACGCGUGGGAACCUGCCCUUAGGUUCGGAAUAACUCCCCGAAAGGGGUGCUAAUACCGGAUAAUGUCUUCGGACCAAAGAUUUAUCGCCUUUGGAUGGGCCCGCGUUGGAUUAGCUAGUUGGUAGGGUAAAAGCCUACCAAGGCGACGAUCCAUAGCUGGUCUGAGAGGAUGAUCAGCCACACUGGGACUGAGACACGGCCCAGACUCCUACGGGAGGCAGCAGUGGGGAAUAUUGGACAAUGGGCGAAAGUCUGAUCCAGCAAUGCUGCGUGAGUGAUGAAGGCCUUAGGGUUGUAAAGCUCUUUUACCCGGGAUGAUAAUGACAGUACCGGGAGAAUAAGCUCCGGCUAACUCCGUG
rnacentral:rRNA from 1 species